GCCUGGGUGGCUCAGUCGGUUAAGCAACUGACUUCAGCUCAGAUCAUGAUCUCAGGAUUCGUGGGUUCAAGCCCCGCAUUGGGCU
rnacentral:tRNA from 1 species